AGUCCCCCAUGCUCCAGAAUAGCUCUUGGAAACGGGUGGUAAUGCUGGAUGCUCCAACUUGACGCAUGUCUUGUUGGGAAAGUGUUUAGUGGCAUGGGAUGGGGUCGCGUCCUAUCAGCUUGUAGGCGGGGUAAUGGCCCACCUAGGCUUCGACGGGUAGCCGGCCUGAGAGGGCGGACGGCCACAUUGGGACUGAGAUACGGCCCAGACUCCUAGGGAGGCAGCAGCA
rnacentral:rRNA from 1 species